rnacentral:rRNA from 1 species
UACAGAGGGUGCAAGCGUUAAUCGGAAUUACUGGGCGUAAAGCGUGCGUAGACGGUUACAUAAGUCGGGUGUGAAAGCCCCGGGCUCAACCUAGGAAGUGCACUCGAAACUGCAGAGCUUGAGUCUCGGAGAGGAUCGCGGAAUUCUCGGUGUAGAGGUGAAAUUCGUAGAUAUCGAGAGGAACACCGGUGGCGAAGGCGGCGAUCUGGACGAUGACUGACGCUGAGACGCGAAAGCGUGGGGAGCAAACAGG